rnacentral:tRNA from 1 species
UAGCUCAGUUGGUAGAGCAGCGCAUUCGUAAUGCGCAGGUCGAGGGUUCGAACCCCUUGA